UGAAAGGGACUGCUGCGGGUCGCGCACUCACGUUUUCGCGAUGCCUCGAAUUUGACUUUGAUGCGCCGCAACGCCGCCGGUUCCAGUUGUCAUUGCAUGAACCAUGCGGACGGUCAGUGCGACCAAUCCGCAACCAUAAGAGAAAGAAGCGUGCUCCGAAUCGCUUCAUUAACGCUUCGUUUACAUCCGCAUGAAAAUGCUGCGGGACACAAAAAGAGAAUAGUAACAUGACGUCCGCCUCG
rnacentral:misc_RNA from 1 species